GUUGUAAGGUGUCUUGACUUGUGUACUUAAGAUGGAUUUAUCGACAUUAUGUUUGGAUAAGAAUGCCUGCAGUAAAUUCGGAGGUGUUCCUAGUUCGGGUAAAAUGAGGUCUAUGUCUACUGUAAAAGAAUGCCCCAUUCGCACUUGGGAAGGUAAGUUUAAAUUAGUAAGAAGUUGGAAGGCAAGUAUUUUUCUAGGAGUAGGGGUAUAGGUUUCGUCAAUACACCACACCAUUAUGAAUAACAACAGAACCCUGUCACAAGGUGGGGUAGGUUAGGUCCCUUAGGUAUUUAAGCACCUCUACCUACCUACUUGAAUGUGGAAGUUUAGGUUGACAAAAAUGACAACAAAAGCCAUUAAAAAAUCAUCCCUUUAUUUGCGACACCUAAAUGCUUAUUUGAUUUUACUUAAGUUGAACUUUUUAAAUAUUUUGCUUGUGCUAAUUAGUAUAAAAAUAUUUUUGG